GGAGGGGUGCCGGAGUGGACUAACGGAACGGCCUGGAGAGCCGUCCCGCCUCGGGCGGGUCGUGGGUUCGAAUCCCACCCCCUCCGCCA
rnacentral:tRNA from 1 species